AAAUUUCUUCGGGGCAGGGUGUGAUUCCCUACCGGCGGUAUAGUCCGCGACCCGCUUUGGCGGCUGAUCUGGUGAAAUUCCGGAACCGACAGUAAAGUCUGGAUGAGAGAAGAACGCG
rfam:Ruminococcus sp. SR1/5 draft genome.